rnacentral:rRNA from 1 species
ACGAUGCCUAGGGGUCCUGAGAGGGUUAUCCCCCACACUGGUACUGAGACACGGACCAGACUCCUACGGGAGGCAGCAGUAAGGAAUAUUGGGCUAUGGGCGCAAGCCUGACCCAGCCAUGCCGCGUGCAGGAAGACGGCCUUAUGGGUUGUAAACUGCUUUUGUUAGGGAAUAUAACCCCCGUACGUGUACGGGGCUGAAUGUACCUAAAGAAUAAGCAUCGGCUAACUCCGUGCCAGCAGCCGCGGUAAUACGGAGGAUGCAAGCGUUAUCCGGAUUCAUUGGGUUUAAAGGGUGCGCAGGCGGACCAGUAAGUCAGUGGUGAAAUCCUACGGCUCAACCGUAGAACUGCCAUUGAUACUGUUGGUCUUGAGUCUAGUUGAAGUGGGCGGAAUGUAGCAUGUAGCGGUGAAAUGCAUAGAUAUGCUACAGAACACCUAUUGCGAAGGCAGCUCACUAAACUAUAACUGACGCUCAUGCACGAAAGCGUGGGGAGCAAACAGGAUUAGAUACCCUGGUAGUCCACGCCGUAAACGAUGAUCACUCGUUGUUGGCGAUACACAGUCAGCGACCAAGCGAAAGUGAUAAGUGAUCCACCUGGGGAGUACGAUCGCAAGGUUGAAACUCAAAGGAAUUGACGGGGGCCCGCACAAGCGGUGGAGCAUGUGGUUUAAUUCGAUGAUACGCGAGGAACCUUACCUGGGCUCAAAUGUAUGUUGACGUAUGGUGAAAGCCAUAUUUCUUCGGACAAUAUACAAGGUGCUGCAUGGUUGUCGUCAGCUCGUGCCGUGAGGUGUCGGGUUAAGUCCCAUAACGAGCGCAACCCCUAUCAUUAGUUGCCAUCAGGUCAAGCUGGGGACUCUAAUGAAACUGCCUACGCAAGUAGUGAGGAAGGUGGGGAUGACGUCAAAUCAGCACGGCCCUUACGUCCAGGGCUACACACGUGCUACAAUGGCCAGUACAAAGGGCAGCUACCUGGUGACAGGAUGCUAAUCUCAAAAGCUGGUCUCAGUUCGGAUCGAAGUCUGCAACCCGACUUCGUGAAGCUGGAAUCGCUAGUAAUCGCGCAUCAGCCAUGGCGCGGUGAAUACGUUCCCGGGCCUUGUACACACCGCCCGUCAAGCCAUGGAAGCUGGGGGUACCUGAAGUCGGUGACCAGUAAUAGGAGCUGCCUAGGGUAACU